rnacentral:rRNA from 1 species
AGUGAGCGCUGGCGGUAGGCCUAACACAUGCAAGUCGAACGGCAGCACAGUAAGAGCUUGCUCUUACGGGUGGCGAGUGGCGGACGGGUGAGGAAUACAUCGGAAUCUACUUUUUUGUGGGGGAUAACGUAGGGAAACUUACGCUAAUACCGCAUACGACCUACGGGUGAAAGCAGGGGAUCUUCGGACCUUGCGCGAUUGAAUGAGCCGAUGUCGGAUUAGCUAGUUGGCGGGGUAAAGGCCCACCAAGGCGACGAUCCGUAGCUGGUCUGAGAGGAUGAUCAGCCACACUGGAACUGAGACACGGUCCAGACUCCUACGGGAGGCAGCAGUGGGGAAUAUUGGACAAUGGGCGCAAGCCUGAUCCAGCCAUACCGCGUGGGUGAAGAAGGCCUUCGGGUUGUAAAGCCCUUUUGUUGGGAAAGAAAAGCAGCAGGUUAAUACCCCGCUGUUCUGACGGUACCCAAAGAAUAAGCACCGGCUAACUUCGUG